GUUCCCUUCCCUCCCCGCACUUCCCGUCGCUGCCGCCAAUCCACUACCGCCCACCGCCCACCGCCCUCGAGAGGGAAAAGCCUCGGCCCGUCCACCGACGCAGCAUUCCACACCAAAAGCCCAGGUAAAUUGGCUUCGUCUCCCCGCUCUGCGGCGAUGGAGGAAGGAGGAGGUGCAGAGCACCGCGAAUUCCAUCGCCACAGCCUCGCGCAGCCGCGUCGUCCUUCUCCGGCAUCGCGCGAUCCCUAGCAGACAGAUUAGUCAACAAAGAAAAAUUAAGUGGUGGAGAUCUUCCUAAAAUGAAAUCAAGACGAUGAGAUAAGAAUGGAGAUUUAAUGUGGUUUGUUGGAGAUGCCAAAGGUAGGAGAUGAAGGACAGUUGGAAGGGGAUAAUGGAGGACAAUUAUAGCGUCACUAGAGCCUGGGGCGGAGAGGUAGGGGCUGUCUGUGCAGGUUUGCAGUGCAGCUGGGCCAAACAUCGCUUACAGUUUAAGCUGUAGGCUGUUAUAAAGUAAAAGCUGCGGAGGUACAGUUUCGGCCACUGUGUGCAGGAAGAUGAGAAGUCAAGCAGUAGCAAUUGGCGCAUGUAGGUUCCGCGGGGCACUCAGCGAGAUUCAAUCUUCACGUGACAUUUAGGCCGACCUUUUAUUAUGGAUCGCUGGGGGGAAGAAUCGUAAAAGUUUCAGGUGUCAACAAAUUGUGUCGCUGCGGAAAAGAGGGAUCAGACCAAAGCAGUGGCCUUGGUAGGGCAAGGUAUUAUCCUCGAGGACACUAAGGUUCAUGCCCAAGCAUCCAUAUUUUAAUGGUUUAGUCGGGAUAUUUUCUGAGUUGACAUUUGCAUCUCCCAGAGGGAAGACCAGGGCGUAGGCAUGCCACCUUUCGCGGCCGUGGGGGGUUGAAAAUGGCUGCUCCUAUUGGAUGAUGGGAAAAGGCACUACAAGAUAACGUCUUGGGGCCUACCGCCGGCGACCACAUCGCAUCGGGGCAUGCCUUGCGGUACCACACGCACUGAUGACUGCCAGUAAUCACUAAGCAGUGCAUUAAGGAUGUAACAUCAGCUCAUUAAUUAAGCCACUGAAUGUCUCUAGUCGCCGGGAUUCAUAGAAGAGGGAGUAUAUUCGUCAACUUGAAGAGGGAGGGGAUGAGAAGUGACCUUGCUUCCUUUAAAUCUUGUCAUGAGGGUACACGAUGAAGGCUAUGCCUUUCUUCAUAUUUAUGCUGGCAAAUCUCUCGUUUUUCAUUCAAGUUCUUAGAUUUUUACGAAGAGUUUUUGUACAUGAUGCUGAGUCAUACGUUAAUAUGUACUCCCUCUGUCUCAUAAUAUAAGAGAGUUUUUGACACUACACUAAUGUCAUAAACACUCUUAUAUUAUGGAAUGGAGGGAGUAUAAGAGAGGGAUUGUGACGAGUAAUGGCAUCAGCACAUAGUUAAUUAAGUCAACAUCGGCCCAUGAACUAUGUGACAAGGGUAUGUGGAAUAUUGAAUAUCCGACCACUCAAAAAUCAAGAUGUACUAGUUUGUACCCUUGAAGAUCAAGACAUGCAAAGAGAAUAUGUGGCUUAUUUCUUUGAUCUUUGGGCACAACUGAACAGUAUAGUUGCAUUGCAUCACCUUUCAGGUGUGUACGUAUGUGGUUUGCUAGCAUUAUUGGUAUUCAACUAUUCAUGCUCAAUCCAAUCUGAAUUAUCUCCAUCUCUCUUAUAUAUUAUUGCCACUGUGUUUAUAGCUGAUUAGCCUCCUUGAUGUUUUCUUACACAUUGGUUUGCAUCGAUGUAGGACGGUCAAUGCCGGCAGUGUAUAAUAUACAAAACAGAUAGGGGGCAGCAAAAACCAUAGACAGCGGAGGGACCAUCCUGGAUGGUUUCAUGGAUGCUGGACAGUUGCAGAUAAGUAUCCUUUUAUUCUAUGGUAUACACGAUAGCCAGCCAGGAGAUCAUGAGAUCAAACCAGAUACUCUUGGCUGUGUGAAUUCGUUGGCGGAAAGUAGCUUGAUUUAUCCAGAUUUAAUUCCCAAUAGACAAAAAAAAGAAAGAAAGAAAAUGGACUAAAAACAUAAAAUUAUAGGGCCUCGUUUGAGAUACUAGCUAGAGUAUUGCCAUACUAUGAACAGUGCUAGGUUUAAUUCCGUUUUGGGUGGGAUAUUUGUACUAUGUACGACUGCCAAAAGAAUAUAAUAUUAUCGACAAUUAAGUAAAUAUGCGUACUGUGGUGUCAACUGUUGCUGAUUGGAACUACUACUUGGCAGCAGCAGCAUGGGUACUACUCCCGGUACUACUUAAAACCAUGGGAGGGCUCAGCACUGGAGUACGGCGGUCGCUCACCGGAUCCAAGAAGAAAAAAUCUCUCCCAUUUCCUGUUGCGUCCGGAGGUUUUGUUUGGGUUUCCUUUCGGAUUUUUGGGUUGUUUGCUGCUUUUGUGUCGGAAGUUGUUCUUCGGUUGUGCAAUCUGUGAAGUAAUGUUAGCUCCUGGUGUGGGGAGGCCCUCGAGAGAUUGACAGAAGAGAGUGAGCACAUGGCGUGAUGCCGGCAUAACAUGUAUGCCGUCUUCGCCGCGUGCUCACUCCUCUUUCUGUCAGCCUCUUUCUCUCAGGAGUUUACGUUACAUUCAGAUCCACUGGUGGGUAUGUAGAACUAAUUUGAUUCAAUUUCAAUUCAAUAGUUCAUAAUUUUCCACACAAAAAAGAAGGUUAACCCCUGCUUAUGAGAGGAACUCAGCCACAAAAGAAAGACAGAACACGCAUGCGGCAUGUACUCUGGCUGUUCUCCGACUUUACCAUGCCACUUCCUUAUCUCUUUAGAUGUGUGCGCACGCAAAAAAAUAAAAUAAAAUAAAUUGCUCUGUUGUUUUGAUCUUUUCAGUCAAGUUGCUCCUGGGAACUACUACCGAGGAGAGUGAUACGGAUGCUAGUGGUAAUUGUAAGGAGUGGCAGCUGUAGGCUUGUAGUACUGGAAUAAAUGAUUGGAUUUGUUACUUGUUUUUUUCAUCCCCAAAUUGUUUUAUCUUCUCCCUUUGCAGUUGUACUCGCCUUGGGAGCUGAAUCAUGGAGAUGCUGCCGGUACACUGCAACAUGCACCCUCUCUCUCUCUCACCCUAACAACCCCCUUCUU